UACAGAGGUCUCAAGCGUUGUUCGGAUUCAUUGGGCGUAAAGGGUGCGUAGGCGGCGCGGUAAGUCGGGUGUGAAAUCUCGGGGCUUAACUCCGAAACUGCAUUCGAUACUGCCGUGCUUGAGGACUGGAGAGGAGACUGGAAUUUACGGUGUAGCGGUGAAAUGCGUAGAUAUCGUAAGGAAGACCAGUGGCGAAGGCGGGUCUCUGGACAGUUCCUGACGCUGAGGCACGAAGGCCUGGGGAGCAAACGGG
rnacentral:rRNA from 1 species